CCUACGGGAGGCAGCAGUAGGGAAUAUUGCUCAAUGGGGGAAACCCUGAAGCAGCAACGCCGCGUGGAGGAUGAAGGUUUUCGGAUUGUAAACUCCUUUUGUUAGAGAAGAUAAUGACGGUAUCUAACGAAUAAGCACCGGCUAACUCCGUGCCAGCAGCCGUGGUAAUACGGAGGGUGCAAGCGUUACUCGGAAUCACUGGGCGUAAAGGGCGCGUAGGCGGGAUAGCAAGUCAGAUGUGAAAUCCUAUGGCUUAACCAUAGAACUGCAUUUGAAACUGUUAUUCUAGAGUAUGGGAGAGGUAGGUGGAAUUCUUGGUGUAGGGGUAAAAUCCGUAGAGAUCAAGAGGAAUACUCAUUGCGAAGGCGACCUGCUAGAACAUAACUGACGCUGAUGCGCGAAAGCGUGGGGAGCAAACAGGAUUAGAUACCCCAGUAGUC
rnacentral:rRNA from 1 species